rnacentral:lncRNA from 1 species
UCUGCUUCUGCACCGACACAUCCUUUAGUCGGUGAAAGUCCUCUCGGUCUCCAACCUCCACCCGACUAUUUUCGUUUGGUUGAGUCCGAGAGUCGUCCCAACGGGAAGGGAACCCCCAAGAUAGCGGAGAAGAAGCAAAGAAAAAUUAAUUCUUCCACCCGUAGAUCGACAAUGGAAGACCGGUAAUGAACGAAAGACCCUUUCGGAGAUUGAAGAACCACCACCCUCAGGCUUUCGGAUGGGGUCGGAGGACGA